rnacentral:lncRNA from 1 species
AACCAGUAAGUAUGCCUGCCCUUUGUUCCGGAGAGGGACACUACCUCUCACUUUCAAGGCUCUUCGAUAUACAUCCAUCCUUUUAAAGGAACAAAGGGCAAGUCAGUGCUUUGCUCACAGGUGUGCAGAAAUAUGAGAAACCCUUGGAGAAUUGUCUCCAAUAGCAAGAUGAAAUAACUAGGAGCAACAAUAUGGGAAUGGCACACAAACACCUGGUGACUAGGAAUUGAGCCCACAGCUCAUGUCACUCUGUGGAUUAUAUACCUGGAGGUAUUGGGAGCUUAUGAUUACACAAAUAAAAUUUUAGCCUUCCACAAAAGGUUAAAAUAAAAAUCCCCACAAGAGAAGGAAGAAUCUGAGAAUUUCAGGUGUAGAAGUAACAAUAGAAAUCAAGGCAUAUUUUUAAAGAAUAAUUCAAGAGCUAUUGAAAAUUGUUGAAGCAGUAUGGUAGUUAUCUGGGGGUUCUUUCAACUACUCACUCUAUUCCUAUGCAGUUAAUAUUUUUGUAAUAAUUAAAAAAAUUUUUAAUUAAACAGUAUGAAAAUAGGAAUGUUCUCUGUUGAAGAGAAAGUGCUUGGGAUAGAAACCUCUAAUAGUUGAAGUUGGUAUAGGAUGUUUCUCUCCCAGAAAACCUCUAUAUAGUAUAAAGAAGAAAAAUAUGUAUUUUAUCUAUAGAUGUUAUUGAAAUGUAAGUUUUAGUUUUAGAAAUACUUGGUAUAUUGUAAAUAUGGGGACAAAGACCUUGGACAAAGGAAAGUUUAACUGGGUCACCAUGCUGUACAGUAGAAAAAAAAAUUGUAUUAGAGAAAUAACUAUUAAAAAAAACUUUAAAAAAAAAGUUGAACAGUUGAAUUUUACUGGAUGACUAACCACUGGAAGGCUCUAACAUAUAAUCCAACCAUCACUAAGAUUCCAGUGUUCAUUGAGCAGAACAGGGAGGAUGAGGGACUUGCAGAUGUUUACAGCAGAGGCUACUUCUAUGUACCAGCAAAUGGAACCAAGCAAACUGGCUGUAAGGGGAAUCUAGUCACUCAUCCUGUCAUCAAGUAUCAACCAGGUGUCAGGCUCUGGCCCAGGUGAGUGUAUCUAAAAAGAGAAUAGGUUUAAAGAUUUUUUUUUUAAGAGAGGGAAUAGACUCAUAAUCUUCAGUAUUUUUCUUAAAAUUGUAUAAUCUGUAUGUUAUGAUAGUUCUUGUAUUAUUUGAACAUAUUUUGGGAAAGGAAAUGGUGAAAUCUGAAAGGGUACAGGUACAGGUGGUACAGAUCUGAACUGCUGAAGAUAAAAAUGAAAAGAUACCUGGGACUUCAUCAAGCUUGGAAAAUGGAUAGAACAGUAUCCAGAAGAUGAUCGCUGAGAAAGGAUAUUAUCAAAAUAAGUAAAACCUUUGAGGGACCUACAUGGUGAAGCCCAAGAGUGUUGUAUAGCAUUGCACCAGUUGUACCCAGCAAGGGCACCAGGCAGGGGCAUAGAGAGGGGAAAGAGCCGGGCGGGGACCAUACUGGGAUGGGAACCUAGCCAUACUCUGCUCACUGAGCCCUGCGACUGGCACAGGCUGCACCUGCCUGAAAGAGGGAGCACCCGUUUGUAAACGGAGUGCCCAGAGGGAGUGCUUUCUCCUUAUCUGCAUAAAGCCCUGGCUGUGCUGGCUGUGCUGGCUGCACCAGCUGUGGCUCCAGAGUGAGAACAUCCUCAAAUCCUGGAAUGCUAAAACUUAAGGGCACCCAUUGAAAUUCUAUGAAAGUAGUUUAAAGAUAAAUAAAAGAUGGCAUUACUUUAUACAGUGGGUAGUAAACAUAUGGAACUCAUUAUCCUCAAGAUGUUGCGUAGUCCACAAAUAUAAAUAGGAUAAAGAAAGAUUUAGAUAAAUUCAUGCUUGUUAGAUUCAUAUGAGCUGCUAGAGCAUUGUUAGAAACACAGGGAACGUCUCCAAAUGCUUUCAGGGAAAACACCAUGUUUGUCUUCAAAAUGUCCUGCAGUGCCAGUGCCAUGAAUUGAACAGGCAAAUCUCUGGCUUCCCAUGUUUUCAGGGAAAUCAAUAGCCAUAACACACAAGUUUUCCAAAUAACUGAGGUCUAAGCUUCUGUGUAUCAUAAGGAUUUCUUUGUAUUAACAAGUUAUGUAAAAAUCUUUCUCAAUGGUGAUAGGAAAGUUUGUGAUCUUAAACUGAGUUGGCCAAACUUAGCCUUUUCUUGAGGACUUGGCAUCAUCAUGACAAACAUGCACUUUUGUACUGGGCUGGAAAAGAGCCAUAUCUUAUGACCCAGGGCAUCAACUAAGAUGUGUGGCACUGUUUGACUAUCACCUAGUCCCACAGUUACUGUGGUUUGUUCUUUUCAUUUCUUUCAGUAUUUGUGCUUCCUUUACAUAAAAAUUCUGACCUUGUCUCCUGUUCUUCACUAUUGUGAGUGGGCAGGGAAAAUCCCUUCUCUCCUAAUGUCUGGCUACUCCCACCUCUUGGACUUGAGAGGAGAGCGCCCAACUCUCGUCUGUGUCAUGUUGUCUCAGCUGGGCAACAGACCUUCCCUCAGUUCACUACAGCUCUCGGAGACCAGGCUGAACUUCUAACAAGCUUAACUGAAGGUUGGGGAAUAGCAGAAGAGAAGUACAUGGUAGUACUGCUGCUGGAUUUGGCUACCAGAGGAGCUUACCCCUGAACCCAGCAGGCUCAGACCACCCUGAGUCCUCCACAGUCCUCCUCCACGCCUAUUUAGUUCCCAUACCUGUCCAGCUCAGUCCAACCCCAGAAGCAGGUCAGAGGGACCCACAACUCCAAGCAAAAGAGAUAGGAAGGAACUGUUUCCUCCCUCCUGUUCAAAGCUCAUGUCUCCAAUCAUCAUUCAUUGGUGCCAGCUUCGUAUUACUUUUCCUGAAAUGACAGACCAGCAGAAUCAUGAACUUGUCCCCUGGUUCCCAGUAGGAUAAUAUAGCAAAACACAACAGUGCAAUAUCAAUACCCUCUAGAUUAUUUGACCUUAUAUAAGCCGCAGACAUUGACAGUCCAGGCCUGGUCCAAGUGCAGUUCUGCUCUUUUGUGUGGUCUGUCCACUCGUGUGAAACGCAGAUCUUGCCUACUCAUUCUUCACAUGAUCCCCAGGUUUUGCUUCUGAACAAGAGUGCACGCAAAUUUCCAAAUGAGUAAGUGACACUUUUCAGGCACCAUUAUUGUCUAAAUUCACUCUUUAAAGAUAAUAAAUAUUUAUCUAAGGGACAUGCAAUGUGCAGGGAUGCAAUUCUGCAGAUUAUAAAACCGGUAUUUGUUGUUGAGUUAUAACACAAAGAUGUUUAGCAACUCAAGAGUUGCCCUGAUUGAAAAUCACCAACUCAGAACAAGGCCUUUGAUUAGGUUUGACACCUGAAUGACUCAUUCUGGUAAUUUUCCCAAAAUAAGAGAGUAAGCAGUCUACCCUAAAGAUUACUUCAGCUGCCAUUGCUAGGGAGGAAAAACCUGUCUAUAGCUUUUAAAUCGUGUAGUUUUCCUCCCUCCUCUGUCCAUCAAGUUUUCAGAAAUUUUUAGGGCUGAGUUUAGUGCAGUCUCUUCCUUAGAUAAGUCUUAUAUUUAAAAUAUUCUAAAACACAUUUUAUUUCUUUUAUUCAUUUUAAUUUUUACAUUUCAGUAUCUCUGAAAUCAGGAUAAAUCUUAUAACUAUGACAGUUAUACUUGGCGAAGCAGCAUUUAUGACAUAGUGGCUUAUAUCUGUAAGAAAUUAGUCCAUUGCAAAAUGAGCAUGCUGAAAAUAUAGUGACUUGAUUAUUCCCAUCAGGUUAUUGCCUGACUGGACAACUGCACAGCUUCAGACAGCAAAUCAUUUGAGGAUAUCUGAGAUGGGAGUAUAAACCUGUUAUCCUUCCAUGAUCAGAAUCCAGUAGGAUCCAUCAACUCCAGAUUUCAGACUUGCACAACGGGUGUUACUGGUUUGGGAAAAGUCUUUGAGACAAUAAUGGAACACUCUUUUAAGAAGUGCUGCCUUACCCAUGCUCUUGGUUUCACAGCAUCUGUAGAAAACCACAGAUACCAGUGACUCUGACUCCAAAAGCGAUUCAGAAGAACAAGCCUCUACAUGCGCAGUUUUAGAGAAUAACUGAUUUAUUUUUAUUAUUAAUUUACCCUCUUUGGUAUGGAAAAGAGUGAUAAAUGAUUUUUAAAAAUCUGUUGUCCAAAUAACUAAUCCUAUGUUGUAAGAAGGGCUUAAGUCAUAGUUUACUUAAUAGUGGGUUUAUUUCCUUAGAGAUAUGUAAAUGAAUGGUAUAUGCGGCUGAACAAUCUGUUCACCCAGUCUGCCCCCCAGACUUCCCAGUUCUCUUGUAAGCAGGUUGUGCAUGUGACUGCUUUUGGCCAGAGGAAUAUGGGUGGAAAGUGACUUGUGUUAUUUCUCAAUCCAAGCAUAGAAAAACUAGGUCUUGACUUCUGAAAUCACUUUUCUCUCACCAUACAUAGUAAACCCUGAAACCUCUUACUGAGAUGCUGGAGACUUCAUCGGCACAUGGCUCUUAAGUGCCAAAGUAGAGCCAGAAGUCUCACGUGAUCCUUGCUAUAGCAUGAAACAAACUUUUGUCAUAUAAGCCACUAAUGUUGUGUGGGUUGAUUUCACUACAGCCUAAGUCAUUCACAUCCUUAGUGUAAUACUACAGCCCACAACAACUAGAGGUAUCUUAAAUUGGGGGAAAUACAAUAUAGGCAGACUCAGUGGUGUGCUAGUAAAUGCCCAACAACCAGCUGUCAUGGGAUUGGGAGGAGUCCCUGAUUUAUAGUAUUUGCUUGUUUUUUGGUGCAAAUACUUCCAUCAUGGAGUUAUAUCACAUCAUGGAGUUAUUAAUGGUAAUACUGACCAGCUUGCUAAAUUCCUCAAAAUUUGACCGUUGGCGCCUGUGAACCAAUAUAUGUGGGUUCUAGCACACUACCAGACACAUGCCACAAACAUCUCUCCAAUUCACAUUCUUCUCUUAGAAUAUCUCUUGGUAUUUCACACUCAACUUCAUAGACCAUAUAUCUCUCUCAGUACAUUUUGGGGCUGACAUUUUAUGGGGAAAAUAUAUAUUUAAAUACUCAAAACGCAAUGGGACAUAUUUAAAAAGCAGUAUGUGGGGGCCAUAACUGAUAGAAAGUCAGAAUCAUGUGCACAUACUUUUAAAAAUGGACUUCCCAUUGUGGCUCAGUGGGUUAAGAACCUGACAUAGUAUCGUGAAGAUGUGGGUUUGAUCCCUGGCCUUGCUCAGUGGAUUAAGGAUCCGGUGUUGCCACAAGCUGCAGUGCAGGUCGCAGAUGAGGCUCAGAUCUGGUGUUGCUGUGGCUGUUGCAUAGAGAUUCGACCUCUAGCCCGGGAACUUCCAUAUUCUGCAAGUGUGGCUCUAAAAAGAAAAUAAUGAUGAUGAUGAUGAUGAUAAUGCACACUGUCAAUAAAGGUCAGUUUCUGUGUCGGUGCUAAAAGAGACAUCAAAGCAUUCUGAGCAGCUGUUAACUUCUGUCCAUUCUUUCAUGACCAGUAAGUCUUAUUUCGUCAUUUUACAUCAUAACAUGUUGUUUGUUACUUACAUAUACACUUCUUACUAUAUUUUCAUGACUUUUAAGAAAUAUGUUGGUUUAGGGCUGAUAUGUGAUACAUUAUAAUUUUUCCCAUUAGACUUUUUUUUGCUUUUUAGGGCCACACCCACGGCAUAUGGAGGUUCCCAUGCCAGGGAUUGAAUUCGAGCUACAGCUGCUGGCCUGCACCACAGCCACAGCCAUGCAGGAUCCGAGCUACAUCUGCGACCUACACCACAGCUCACGGCAAUGCCAGAUCCUUAACCCACUGAGUGCGGCCAGGGAUCAAACCCGUCACCUCAUGAUUCCUAGUCAGAUUCAUUUCUGCUGCGCCACAACAGGAACUCCCACUUGUUUCAUAAAGAACAGUUGAUUUUCAGUAAUAGAUUACUGACAUGAAGUGAGAGACAUUGAUCAUAUAAAUACUAAGACCUCUAGCUUUUAUGAGCUUGAGCAUAUGACUUUCAUGACAUCUAUUUUGCCUGCUCAGGGAACUUUUUGCAUAAUUCUUGUUUUGUAGUUGUGUUCCAGAUGGACAGUACUGCCAGGGAGCUAGGUUGUGGAUGGCUGAAGCAGAGAAUUCCUACAUUUCUAAUGCAUUAGUUAAUAUCUAUUCUGAGGUGAGAAACAGGAUGGAAUCUAAUUAUUUCUGAUUCUUUGAUGCAAAAUAAAUAAGUAAACCACUCAGAGGAUGGUUAAUAACUACCUAAUUCAUGAGCCCAAGUGUCUUUUCUUUGGACCAAGACUUUCCUCCUUUGACCUUCUCAAUCCUGAUGAGUCAGAAUAAGACUGAGUGAGAGCUUUCUUAAGGCUUUUCCCAGCACUAUCAUUUCUCCCCACGCUUUUUAUCCUGGGUACAGUCGGUCUGUGGAGGAAUGAAAAGACUAUUUAAGCAAGACCAUCUAUGAUAAUAUAAUUUUCUGUCUGUCAACAGGGUCUGACAUUUUCGUGAUAGAGAUUUAUCCUUUUGAAGCUCUAGAGUCUUGAAGAUCUAGAGUCUUAAAGAGUUCUCUGGGAAAGGUCACACCUUAAAUUCUUUACCAUCUAUUUCUUUAGAGGGGAUCAAGAUAAUUAGUUGAGGUCAAAGUCCUGAAAGAAAAGACCAAGGUAGCCUCUUAGAGAAAGGCAUGUUCUAAGAAGGAUAAAGACAAGUAGGUAAGAAGGGGCUAAAACAAACUUGAUUUCCUUGACAGUGUAGUUUGGAAUUCCCAAGAAAUCCCUGACAUUUACCUAACAGACCAUAUAUUAUCACCACCCUAAGGAGACACCAAUCCAGCUCCAUGGAGAUUUCAUACUCUCUCACAUAAUAAAUUUUGGCCAGUGAAAAGAACCAAACUAUGGUUUUCAGAUAGUAUCACAGCGCCUUUCCUUUUAUGACAUUGAUUUAUUGAUUCCACGGUUGGGAUAGUAUUGAAUCUUAUCUUGCUAAUGCAUUGUGUGAGUACCUAGAAUUCCCUAGAUGCUUUCAUCUACAGCCUUGGUUCUUUGAAAGAGCAUCUCUUAGAAAUAAACAGUCUUAGGCCCCACUCCAGACCUGCUAAUCAGAAUCUGCAUUUUGAUAAGUCCCCAGGUGAUUAAAAUGCACACUAACAUUUGAAAAGACUUAUCAACAGUAUUUGGAAAGCUAAGGAAGCUCUUGAACUUGGUGCUUAAAAAACAUCUCAAAGUUUUUAUCACUGAAGAGAAAACUUCUAGCAUUCUUGCAGUAUUACCCAAAGUUGGACUGGAUGGCUCAUAGGAAGAGAAGCUAUUCAGGAAUAAUGGAUAAGAGUUCUAGUUUCUUUUUAUUCAAUACAUCUCCCUAGGGAGUUCCCGUUGUGGCUCAGUGGGUUAAGAACCCAACUAGUAUCCAUGAGGAUGUGGGUUCGAUCCCUGGUUAAGGAUCUGGUGUUGUUGUGAGCUGCAGGUAGGUUGCAGAUGCGGCUUGGAUUUGGCGUUGCUGUGGCUGUGGUGGAGGCCAGCAGCUGCAGCUCCAAUUCAACCUCUAGCCCGGGAACUUCCAUAUGCUUCAGGUGCCGCCCCAAAAAGAAAAGGAAAAAAAAAAAAAA